GUUAACUUGAUACCUGUAUCAGUAUAGAUGGAAGUAAUAUUAUUCUGGCCUGUUCUGAUCCUCCAUUGUGCAUGAAAAUACUUGGUAUUUGCAUCUCCACAUUCAAUCCAUGUAGCUUUGGACUUCUGCCUCAUUACUUGCUCCUCCACAUUGUUCCACUUUUCAAGUUCUUCAAGUAAGCAUCUUUCUUCAUCUAUCAGCUCCUGUGAAAG
rnacentral:lncRNA from 1 species